rnacentral:rRNA from 1 species
UACGGAGGGUGCGAGCGUUGUCCGGAAUCACUGGGCGUAAAGGGCGCGUAGGCGGUCUGUCGCGUCGGCUGUGAAAACCCGGGGCUCAACCCCGGGCCUGCAGUCGAUACGGGCAGACUAGAGUGCGGUAGGGGAGACUGGAAUUCCUGGUGUAGCGGUGAAAUGCGCAGAUAUCAGGAGGAACACCGGUGGCGAAGGCAGGUCUCUGGGCAUUAACUGACGCUGAGGAGCGAAAGCAUGGGGAGCGAACAGG